rnacentral:rRNA from 1 species
AACGAACGCUGGCGGCGUGCCUAACACAUGCAAGUCGAACGUGAUUAGAGGGCUUGCUCUCUAUGAAAGUGGCGCACGGGUGAGUAACGCGUAGAUAAUCUACCUGAUGAUUCGGGAUAACACUUCGAAAGGGGUGCUAAUACCGAAUAAGCCCACGGAGUCCUUGGACACUGCGGGAAAAGGGGGGGACCUUCGGGCCUUCCGUCAUCAGAUGAGUCUGCGUACCAUUAGCUAGUUGGUAGGGUAAAGGCCUACCAAGGCGACGAUGGUUAGCUGGUCUGAGAGGAUGAUCAGCCACACUGGAACUGAGACACGGUCCAGACUCCUACGGGAGGCAGCAGUGGGGAAUUUUGCGCAAUGGGGGAAACCCUGACGCAGCAACGCCGCGUGAGUGAUGAAGGCCCUUGGGUCGUAAAGCUCUGACAGAGGGAAGGAAAUGUGGAGUGGCUAAUAACCGCACCACUUGACGGUACCCUCAAAGGAAGCACCGGCUAACUCCGUGCCAGCCGCCGCAGUAAUAC